rnacentral:lncRNA from 1 species
UUUUUUUUUUUUUUUUUUUUUUUUUUUACCUAUGAAUUAAAAAAUAAAGUUACCUGCACAAAAUUGAAGAGAAUAGUUAGGGUAAUAACAGGCUUAAGAAUAUUGAUUCAAAAAAGUCAUUGCAGGGAGCAUCGGAGACUGGAAAAAUCUAGUGGGAUUAUAGGGGUUGAGACUCCAUUUGAUGCUGGUAACCACAAAUUCAGUGAUAUAAAUCUGCUCUGUAGUGAUUUCCUUCAGCUUUUAGCUGUCCAAAUGCAGGCAGACAAAUACCUCAUUUUAUCUGAGUCCAACAAAGAGAUGACAAAAAACAGGAGUAGCCUGUUCCAAGAGAAUGACUGGAAUUUAAGCUGGAUAGGAAUCUAAAGACAGAGGUGUUAAUGGAAUGAAGGUAGAAUCAAUGGUUUGAAUGCUCCAGCAAAACCAAAGAAUAAUAGUAAAGGAAUAAAUCAAUAAACAAAGUGGAAGGAAUAGUCAGUAAAUAGUGUAUUAAAGAUGGAGCAGUUUGGGGGAAAUGACAAUGGCUAGGACAUAGCUAAGGGAGUGGGUGGAUAAGACAGAGUGGAAAUUAUUGAAGAAUGAGAAAAGGGACUGAGAAACCAAAAUACUGAAUGGACUAUCCAGUAACAUUAAAGUACCAAGGGGUUGAUAGGAAAACCAAGGGCUAGCCAUUUCGAGGAAAGUAGGAGAGCAGUGGUUCCUAAGGACCAGUAAUGAGGAAGGGUAGUAUAGUUCAAUAGGCCCAAAGGAAUCUGAUUUUGCAAAGGAAUAGGCAGUUAAGUUCUGAAGUCACAAUGGCAAGAACAUCAACUCUGUCUCCAAAAUGAUGUGAUAAGGGAUAAAGCUUUGUUAACAUUCUUGUGUCGUGGGCAACCCAGGUGGCUCAGCAGUUUAGCGCUGCCUUCAGCCCAGGGCCUGAUCCUGGAGACCCGAGAUCAAGUCCCAUGUCGGGCUCCCUGCAUGGAGUCUGUUUCUCCCUCUGCCUGUGUCUCUGCCUCUCCCUCUCUGUGUCUCUCAUAAUAAAUAAAUAAAAUCUAAAAAAAAAAAAAAAAUUCGUGUCGUGCUUGAAACAUCACACUGCUUUCAUUACGCCAAUGGACGUCACUUUAUGAUGAGACCUGAGGAAGAUGUCAGUGACUACAGGAGAUAGGUAGCAACAGUAGAGUUCUUCUACGUACUGAACGUAUUUAUAAACAGAGAGGGAAGAAGAGGUUAAAAACUUAAGGGAUUAAUUGAUGGAUACUUGUUUUUUCAUCCCUAGGGACAGGCUGGGUGCACAUGAGCAAACAAAUAUAAAUUCUGGAAAUUCAAAGAACAUAGCCUCUAGAGUCAAGACAGAUCUUUCUCAGCCCUUCUCCAGCAAGUAGUAAUUAUGUGACAUGGAAACAGAUGAUUCGCAAUGGAAAUUUACUGCAAGGAUACACGCAAAUGUCCACGGAAGAGUCCUCCCACCAGCAGCACAGUAUUCAAGGUCUCCAUUCCUGUCUUGGAACUGGUUAAGUUCACAAGCUGCUUUAGCUGAAGUUUUACGUUCCAAGGAGAAAAUUUUAAUGAGUAGACACAAACCCAUUCAGUAGGGAAUUUCCUGGUCAGCAGCUUGUACAUUCCUAGCAACCAUCUGUUGAAGAUAUAGGAACUAAAGAGAUGAAAAGCUAUUUGGAGCAACUUUUCUCAAGAGGUAACUACGUAAACAUGGGGCUCUGAUACAUUCUGGAUUCUUGCUUCCUCAUCCAUUAAGUGGGGAAUAAUAUCUCUUACUUGUAGUUUUGCUAUAGAUUAAAAUAGGGAUGCCUGGGUGACUCAGUGGUUGAGCAUUUGCCUUCAGCUCAGGGUGUGACCCCAGGGUCCUGGGAUCGAGUCCUGCAGCAGCCUAGGGAGCCUGCUUCUCUUCUGUCUCUACAUCUCUCAUGAAUAAAUAAAAUCUAAAAAAAAAAAAAAAAAAAAGGCUGAGAUAAAGCAGGACAUAUACCAGCACUGGAACCCAUACAAAUCAGAUGGCUCAAUGGAUAUUUUGAGAGGCAGCCUGGUGUAAUAAAAAGUACAUGGAUUUUAUUUUUUAAAAAAAGAUUAUUUAUUUAUUUAUUUAUUUAUUUAUUCAUGAGAGACAAAGAGAGAGAGAGGCAGAGACACAGGCAGAGGGAGAAGCAGGCUCCACGCAGGGAGCCUGACGCAGGACUCGAUCCUCAGUCUCCAGGAUCACGCCCUGGACUGAAGGUGGCACUAAACCACUGAGCCCCUGGGGCUGCCCAAAAGUGCAUGGAUUUUAAAGCCAGAUCUGUAUCUGUAUCUUAAUAAGAUAUUAAUAUCUUAAUAUUAAGAUACAGAUUAAUAUCUUAAUCUGUAUCUUAAUAAAGUCUGCUACUAGAGAAUUUCAACUUCCUGAUCCACAUAGGGGAAAAAAUGUCUGCUUUGUGGGUAGUUGUAAGGAGUUUUAUGGGAGCCAAUGUCUAAGAGCUUCCAUUUCCUCCGUAAAAAAUGAAACAUGGUCCCCUGAUGGAGGAUAGCUGAACGUGAAAUGGGGGAUAAGAGCAGUGAAGGUGUAAACUAACUGCCUUGGUGAUUAGGAGACAAAAAUAUACCAGGAAGCCACAAAGGGUUGCUUGUUGGUUGACGCUGGAGACCUUGAAUGGUUAGUGCCACUCAUUACACAGCUGUGUUUUUGUCUAGCAGUCUGAACAGAAGAACAGUAAAGGUAAAACAGCUGGAAUGAUACAAAAAGGACACAAGGGAGGCAAGAAAAUGCGGUGAUGGGGUGAUAGGCCAUUUAGAAUGGUGGCACAAGUAAAUUUUAUGAGGGCAAUAAAUGAGAGAAAGAUAGAGAGGCUCAGCAUGGAAAUAACAAAACCGGGACAAUGAAAACAAUGAUGGGUAGAGGACAGAAGAGCUGGAAUUAGAUUAUAGACUUGGAGGUAACGAUAAAGAGGUCCCAAGGAUUUGUUUUAUCUUUUUCCCCAUAACCAUCAUCAUCUAUUUCUCCCCUGAGCUUUUGUUCCUUGGGUCUGGCUAUAUUGUAGAAUAUGGUCCUCCAAGUUCCCCCUUUCUGACUGCUCCUGAAGACAAGCACACAGACCUUCUUUGUGUAAAAGCUUUACUGCUCAUCCUGGGGAAGACAGAAAAUAAUAAGAAAAUAACAACUUGGGAAAAUGGCUGAAGUUCCAGAACACCCCGAAAUCUUACAGGUUUCAUUUCAGUUACGGGGCUACUGACUUUCCAGAAGGCACUGCAUACAAAAACCCUGUGAUUUCUUGAUCUGUUAUUCUUAGGUAUCUCCUCCUUCCCCUAAAUUUAGGAGAAUUCUUUAGAGCCCAUGAAAAGAGUUAUAAAUGAAUGCACACCCAGCUCACAAAUAAACCAUUAAGUCAGAUUUAAGUGAAGGACAACAAGAAGAGCUCUUAUUUUCUCUGCCAUCUGGGCAGGAACCAACUUCCUAUUGCUAUUACUAACAUUAAAAUCGUAC